AGUGAACGCUGGCGGUAGGCCUAACACAUGCAAGUCGAACGGCAGCACAGUAAGAGCUUGCUCUUAUGGGUGGCGAGUGGCGGACGGGUGAGGAAUACAUCGGAAUCUACUCUGUCGUGGGGGAUAACGUAGGGAAACUUACGCUAAUACCGCAUACGACCUACGGGUGAAAGCAGGGGAUCUUCGGACCUUGCGCGAUUGAAUGAGCCGAUGUCGGAUUAGCUAGUUGGCGGGGUAAAGGCCCACCAAGGCGACGAUCCGUAGCUGGUCUGAGAGGAUGAUCAGCCACACUGGAACUGAGACACGGUCCAGACUCCUACGGGAGGCAGCAGUGGGGAAUAUUGGACAAUGGGCGCAAGCCUGAUCCAGCCAUACCGCGUGGGUGAAGAAGGCCUUCGGGUUGUAAAGCCCUUUUGUUGGGAAAGAAAUCCAGCCGGCUAAUACCUGGUUGGGAUGACGGUACCCAAAGAAUAAGCACCGGCUAACUUCGUGCCAGCAGCCGCGGUAAUACGAAGGGUGCAAGCGUUACUCGGAAUUACUGGGCGUAAAGCGUGCGUAGGUGGUCGUUUAAG
rnacentral:rRNA from 1 species